GGGAAUCUUCCGCAAUGGACGAAAGUCUGACGGAGCACGCCGCGUGAACGAUGAAGGCCUUCGGGUCGUAAAGUUCUGUUGUUAGGGAAGAACAAGUACCAGAGUAACUGCUGGUACCUUGACGGUACCUAACCAGAAAGCCACGGCUAACUACGUGCCAGCAGCCGCGGUAAUACGUAGGUGGCAAGCGUUGUCCGGAAUUAUUGGGCGUAAAGCGCGCGCAGGUGG
rnacentral:rRNA from 1 species